rnacentral:rRNA from 1 species
GACGAACGCUGGCGGCGUGCUUAACACAUGCAAGUCGAACGGAAAGGCCCUGCUUUUGUGGGGUGCUCGAGUGGCGAACGGGUGAGUAACACGUGAGUAACCUGCCCUUGACUUUGGGAUAACUUCAGGAAACUGGUGCUAAUACCGGAUAGGAGCUCCUGCUGCAUGGUGGGGGUUGGAAAGCUUCGGCGGUUGGGGAUGGACUCGCGGCUUAUCAGCUUGUUGGUGGGGUAGUGGCUUACCAAGGCUUUGACGGGUAGCCGGCCUGGGAGGGUGACCGGCCACCUUGGGACUGAGAUACGGCCCAGACUCCUACGGGAGGCAGCAGUGGGGAAUAUUGCACAAUGGGCGGAAGCCUGAUGCAGCAACGCCGCGUGCGGGAUGACGGCCUUCGGGUUGUAAACCGCUUUAGCCUGUGACGAAGCGUGAGUGACGGUAAUGGGUAAAGAAGCACCGGCUAACUACGUG